GCGAUGGAAACUGCGGCCCAAGUUAGGAUUAGGACAGCGGUUUUUCAGUCCGGAAAUUCCGGCCGCAACUAUUUUUGUCUGUUUUUAUCGCAAGCCAGAGUCUGGGUGCAGCUCUGGGACAUCUAAAGGGCCUGGAGAAAUUCAGGCUGGGCCAGUGCUGUGGGGGUAGAUGUUAGACGUGGAAGGGACCCUAGAGAGCCUUGACUGAGGACUGAGACAGGGCCUCCUUUGUUGCCCAGGCUGGAGUGCAGUGGCCAUUCACAGGUCGAUAAUGCAAUCAUGGUGCACACUGCAGCCUUGAACUUCUGGGCUCAUGUGAUCCUUCUGCCUCAGCCUCCCAAUGCUAUCCUUAUCAUACAUAUCCUGUGAAGAUAAAAUAUCUAUCGAAGAUUCUUUGAGCACCUUGGGCCAGAAGAGCUACAGAAAGCUAAGGUAUGGCUGUGAUGACACUGAAUUCAGCUCAAGACCCAGGAGAACCUUAUAUCUAUUCUUAUUUCCACAAGGAAGUGCGUACAUGGCUAAUGCAAAUUCUUCCAUAAUAAUGAUAUAAACUUGAGUUGUCCAGGUUUGAUGAGACCCACAUCUUGUAUAUACAGUGUCAUCUACUGCCUCUGUUAGGGGCUCUAGGGGAUAAAGGAAACUAUAUUAAGAAAUGCAGCAUCUGUUUCUCCCUGUGUGACCACCCUACUUCCAAGAAGUUUCUGUAUCCUUGGCUGAAGUACAUUGUGUGUAUGUGUAUGUGUGUACACUCUUCUACAUCAAUCUGUAAGUCAUCUGAAAUGCUGCAGAUGUUUUAAAAAAUUCCACCAUACUUGCUUACUUUAAACUUUGAAACAGGCAAAUAGCUAAGGCCAAUAACACUAGAUAGAAUUAAGUAAUUAAUAACUCAUCAGCACAGUUUAAGAUUGUGCUUCUUAGGAUGGGCAGGGAUUGGUUAAUGGAUACAAAAUUACAGCUAGAGAAGAGGAAUGAGUUCUGGUGUUCUGGGGCACUGUAGGAUGAAUAUGGCUAACUAUAAUUUAGUGUAUACUGUCAAGUCUAGAAGAAAGGAUUUUAAAUAUUCACAACACAAAUAAUAAAUUUUUGAGAUAAUGCAUAUCUGGUUUGUUAUACAUUGUAUACAGUAUUAAAAUAUCACUUUGUAUCCCAUGAAUAUGUAAAAUUAUUAUUUAUUAUUUAUUAUUUUAAAAAUAAAAGGGGAGGAAAAAGA
rnacentral:antisense_RNA from 1 species